GGCUCAGAACGAACGCUGGCGGCAUGCCUAACACAUGCAAGUCGAACGAGACCUUCGGGUCUAGUGGCGCACGGGUGCGUAACGCGUGGGAAUCUACCCUUGGGUUCGGAAUAACUCAGAGAAAUUUGAGCUAAUACCGGAUGAUGUCGCAAGACCAAAGAUUUAUCGCCCAAGGAUGAGCCCGCGUAGGAUUAGCUUGUUGGUGAGGUAAAAGCUCACCAAGGCGACGAUCCUUAGCUGGUCUGAGAGGAUGAUCAGCCACACUGGGACUGAGACACGGCCCAGACUCCUACGGGAGGCAGCAGUGGGGAAUAUUGGACAAUGGGCGAAAGCCUGAUCCAGCAAUGCCGCGUGAGUGAUGAAGGCCUUAGGGUUGUAAAGCUCUUUUACCCGGGAUGAUAAUGACAG
rnacentral:rRNA from 1 species